rnacentral:piRNA from 1 species
AUAUUUGGGGGUCAUUUGC